rnacentral:rRNA from 1 species
UACGAAGGGGGCUAGCGUUGCUCGGAAUCACUGGGCGUAAAGGGUGCGUAGGCGGGUUUUUAAGUCAGGGGUGAAAUCCUGGAGCUCAACUCCAGAACUGCCUUUGAUACUGAGAGUCUUGAGUACGGGAGAGGUGAGUGGAACUGCGAGUGUAGAGGUGAAAUUCGUAGAUAUUCGCAAGAACACCAGUGGCGAAGGCGGCUCACUGGCCCGUUACUGACGCUGAGGCACGAAAGCGUGGGGAGCAAACAGG